rnacentral:RNase_P_RNA from 1 species
UGAGGACGCUGGGCGGUCGCGGGCGCGCAUGCGUCCGAGGAAAGUCCGAGCUCCAUAGGGCAGGGUGCCGGCCAAUUACCGGUGGAGGCGACUCCAAGGAAAGUGCAACAGAGAUAUACCGCGAACCCGGCGUUUGCCGGGCGCAAGGGUGGAAAGGCGAGGUAAGAGCUCACCAGCGGCAUGGCGACUUGUCCGCUCUGUAAACCCCACCUGGUGCAAGAUUGAUAGGGGAGCAUAUGCGGCGGCCCGUCGCGCUCCCGGGAAAUCGCUGGAACCCGCUGGCAACCGCGGGUCUAGAUAGAUGACCGUCCACGACAGAACUCGGCUUACAGGCGCCGCUCACAGC